rnacentral:rRNA from 1 species
CCUACGGGAGGCAGCAGUGGGGAAUAUUGGACAAUGGGCGAAAGCCUGAUCCAGCCAUGCCGCGUGUGUGAAGAAGGUCUUCGGAUUGUAAAGCACUUUAAGUUGGGAGGAAGGGCCAUUACCUAAUACGUGAUGGUUUUGACGUUACCGACAGAAUAAGCACCGGCUAACUCUGUGCCAGCAGCCGCGGUAAUACAGAGGGUGCAAGCGUUAAUCGGAAUUACUGGGCGUAAAGCGCGCGUAGGUGGUUUGUUAAGUUGGAUGUGAAAUCCCCGGGCUCAACCUGGGAACUGCAUUCAAAACUGACUGACUAGAGUAUGGUAGAGGGUGGUGGAAUUUCCUGUGUAGCGGUGAAAUGCGUAGAUAUAGGAAGGAACACCAGUGGCGAAGGCGACCACCUGGACUGAUACUGACACUGAGGUGCGAAAGUGUGGGGAGCAAACAGGAUUAGAUACCCUGGUAGUCCACGCCGUAAACGAUGUCAACUAGCCGUUGGGAGCCUUGAGCUCUUAGUGGCGCAGCUAACGCAUUAAGUUGACCGCCUGGGGAGUAACGGCCGCAAGGUUAAAACUCAAAGGAAUUGACGG